rnacentral:lncRNA from 1 species
AGACAAUUCUUAAGCCCCCGUUUGGUUCGGGUUAAGAAACAGUAGCUAUUCCAGGAAUAGGGUUAAGUUCAGGGUUAAAAUGGUGUUAAAAUUUUUUUGUGUUUGGUUGGAGGUUGGAGUUAGUCUAGGAUAGUGAAAAAAAGUGUUUGGUUGGAGUAGGUGGGAUAAGAAGAUAAUGAUUGAUAAAGAAGAAAAAGGUUAGAGCUCGGGAUGCAUGCGGGGUUAAAGUUGGGAGGGGGAGUGGGGUUAAUGAUUGAUAAAGAAGAAAAAUGUGAGGGCUCGGGAUGCGUGCGGGGUUAAAGUUGGGAGGGGGAGUGGGGUUAGUAAACCCCACUAACCCGGUUUGUACUAACCCCACUAACCCGGUUUGGGGUGGGGUUUACUAACCCCACCCCAAAAGAGUGGUGUUUGGGUAUAAAUUGGGGGUUAAGGGGUUAUUCCACCC